GUAGCGCGAUGAAUAGCACGUUGGACUUCUAAUCCAAAGGUCGUGGGUUCGAAUUCCAUCACCU